rnacentral:lncRNA from 1 species
AGGGGGAAAGCGCCGCGUACCCCUCGGCCAUGACUUCCGGAGCUGCCACCGCUGGCCCGGGGUGCCUGCGAGGCCAACUCAUGUGUGGCCGCCUGGCAUCCUGAGAGGCGAGCAGCGGCGCCCUGGCGCCUCAGCCUUCGUCUGCGGGGCGCCGCGGCCUCAACCUCGUCACCUCAGCUCCACACGGGUCCCACGUCUUCUGGAUGGAGCUGGAUGGAGGGAGGAGUGGUUGGGGUGGGAUGCUGAGGGGACCGACGGUCGCCUAGACAAAGCCCGAUCUGGAUCACCACCACCCACCCACCCCAGGAAAAUAAAUAAUAUUCAUUUUCCCCCCCAUCCAGAAAUAUGCCUCACGGAAUUUACCCCUGAGGCAGCAAUUGUAAGGAGUUUGACCUCACCCAGAGGUGACAAAUGGCCACACCGACCAUGACAUUCUUUGGCUGUAAAGGGGUGUGUCAUGUGUGCGUGGUUCUCCUCAAGAAAACAAAUUUAGCCAUUUUAGCCACGGGUUGGUUCAGUCGGGUGAGUGUUGCCUAAUGUGGAGGCGAAUAGAGGGGUGUUAGCUCUCCACUUGUCCUCAGAGAGGUUUUUACUGGAAACCGGAUGCAGACAUCUACAUGAGACCACGUUGUGCCAAAGAUUUCAGCCAAAACAGUGGGAGUUUCUGUGAGUAAUCUCAGAACCAAGCCCAUAGAAGCCCCCACAACCCACUUGAGAACCAGAAUUGCAGGUAUGUUAAUAAAUCUUUAUUUCUUCGCCUUGGGUGAAGAAAGAACACGAAACUGACUGAAGGCCAAGAAGGUCAUCGAGGCCCAAAAGUAGGCACAAUAUAUUGAUAAAUCUUUGCCUUUUCCUCUGAACAAAAAUACGGGUAACCCGUUUUUAAAAACAGAUUUUGGAGAAUUG